CUAAAAACAACCCGGACCACACCUUGAUGAGCCGUGAAGCCCCGCCCCCUUACCUGGACUGACAGGAAGCCCCGAUCCCGCCAGUGACGCUGCUGGCUCGGUGUUUACAACGAUACGGACGUUUAUGAUAGGACGGAUCCUCUUGAUCCGCUCCACCUCCUGCAAACAGCAACAAGAGGUUACAGCUCAGGUGGAGCUCAGGUGGAGCUCAGGUGGAGCUCAGGUGGAGCUCAGGUGAAGCCACGAGCGCUGAAACUGCUGGACAGUCAGACGGGUGGAGCAGACGAGGGCUGUGAGGGUGGAGAUCAAAACAGGAACAGGAAAUGCAAACAGAGGAAGUCUGAGGAGGAAGGAAGUGAAGAACAUUCCAGCAGCAGACACGGAGCUGCAGGUUCAAUCCUCACUCUGACCACAGACUUUAAAGGUUAAACCAGACGAACUUCCUUAAUCUUCUUCCUUCUACGAGUAAAAACAGCUAAAAAUAUCCCAGAAUGCUCCGAUUCUGAUGCGAAACCAAAGAACAUUAAAAGAUUUUGAAACCUGAA